CCCUGGCUUCCUUCAUAAUUAAUACAAAAGCUGGGGUAGUUCUGUUAAAAUGUAUCAUGUUACCCUUCAGCUCAAAACUUCCAAGGAUUGGAAAAAAUGGGUAUAGUAGAUGGAGAGAUAUAGUAUGGAAGGAAGAAAUGGAAACACAAAUAGAAAUUCUAGUUCUUUUUUUUUUUUUUUUUUUUUGAGAGGGAGUCUCACUCUGUCACCCAGGCUGGAGUGCAGUGGUGUGAUCUUGGCUCACUGCAACGUCCACCUCCUGGGUUCAAGUGAUUCUCCUGCCUCAGUCUCCUGAGUAGCUGGGACUACAGGCAUGUGCUACCACACCUGGCUACUUUUUGUAUUUGUAGUAGAGACAGCGUUUCACUAUGUUGGCCAGGCUGGUCUCGAACUCCUGACCUCGUGGUCCACCUGCCUCAGCCUCCCAAAGUGCUGGGAUUACGGGCAUGAGCCACUGUGCCUAGCCAAAAUUCUAGUUCUAUACAAACCAGUAGCUGAAGAAAAUAUGUAUUGGGUAGGGUUAACAACAGAUUGGACAAAGUUAAAGCAAUGAUCUGUAAACUUGCAAAAAGUUCAAUAGAAAUGAUCCAAACUGAAGCAGAGAAAGAAAAAAAGAUUAAAAAAGGAUGAGGAGUACAUCACUGACCCGAGGUGUCAAACAUACACAUGUGACUGGACUCUCAGAAGGACCAAAAGCAGAAAAAAUAUUUGAAGCAAUCGUGACUGAAAAUUUACCAAAUUUGAUGGAAAGCAUCAACAUAAGUACUCAGUGGGCACCAAACAUGAAAAACAAAAAGAAAAUCACACCCAGGCUCAUUUUAGUCAAAUGGCUAAAAAUGAAACUAAAGAACAGGAUCUUAAAGCAACUGAAAUAAAUAAGGAUGAAAUAAAGAACCUGUAAACCUUUUACUUCAUAUUCCGUGAAAAUAUCCUUCAAUAAUUAAGGCAGCACGAAGACUCUGUAAGAUAAACAAAAAUAGAAUUUGUCUUUAGAAGACCCAGGCUGUAAAAAAUAUUAAAAGAUCAAAGGAAAAUGAUACCAGAUGGAAAUUCACAUUUACAGAAAGGGAUGAAUAGGAUAAGAAAUGGCAAAUAGUGAGGGGUAAAUGGAAACUUUUUUUUUUUUUGAGACAAAGUUUCACUCUGUCACCCAGGCUGGAGUACAGUGGCGUGAUCACAGCCACUCCUGGGCUCACGUGAUCCUCCUGCUUCAGCCUCCCCAGUAGCUGCGACUCCAGGCAUGUGCCACCACGCCUGGCUAAUUUUUGUAUUUUUUGUAGAUUCAGGGUCUCGGUAUGUAGCCCAGGCUGGUCUUGAACUCGUGGGCUCAAGUGAUCCUCCCACCUUGGCCUCAAAAGGUGCUGUGAUUGCAGGAGUGAGCCACUGCACCUGGCCAAAAAUAUUUUUUUCUCUCAGUCUUUCUUUUCUCCAAAAUUGUUCAGUGGUUUUGCAUAUUCCUCAGAAGAAAAACCAAAGUUCUCACCUGGGUCUUAAGAUAUUCUGUAAUCUAAUUAUCCUUCUUCCCUCCUCCUCCUGCCUACCCACAACCUUCAUCACCAACUCAGUGUUUAAUUCCUUCAGUUCCCUAAUUCCAUUUGCCCCCUUGCUGAGUUUUAAAACAUAGUAAUCUCUCAACUCAGAAAUUUGUGCUUGUUUUACUCUCUGCCUGGAAUGAGGUUCUCUUAGAUAACAACAUUCUGUCAUUACCUUCAAGUGUUUGCUUAAAUGUUACCUUUUCUAGUGAGACUUUCUCCGUCCAUUGUAUUUAAUAUUAUACCCCCUUGUACUUCCUAAUCUCUUCCUCACUUCUUUUCAGGCCCUUCCUUCCUUCCUUCUUUCCUUCCUCUCUUCUUUCUUUCUUUCAUCUUUCACAGGGUCUCACUCUAUGCUCAGGCUGGAGUGCAUGCAGUGUCACAAUCAUGGUUCACUGAAGCUUUGAACUUCUGGGUUCCUCCUGGCUCAGCCUCAUGAAAAGCUGGGACUAGAGGUGCAUGCCCCCAAGUCCAGCAAAUUCUUAAUAUAUAUAUGUGUGUGUAUAUAUAUAUUUUAGAGGAGGGGUCUCACUCUAUUGCCUAGACUGAUCUUGAAACCAAGUGAUCCUCUCAUGUCGGCCUCCCAAAGUGCUAGGAUUACAUAUGUGAGCCACCAUGCCCAGCCUCAUUUUCUACACUCUAUAUAAUUUGCUACGUUACUAUGUUUAGGGUCUGCUUCUCCCCACUAAAUUAUAAGUCACACGGAGUCAUGGAUUUCAGCUGUUUGGUUUUCUGCUCUGUUCUCAGUGUCUAGAGCAGUACCUAGCAGAGUCCGGGAGGUAAAUAAUUGUUUGUAGAAUAAAAAUCGAUGGUGUUUAUAGAAUAAACUAGCAUCUGUUCUUGUUUUGAGUAGAAGUGUUUGCAGGCCCUGAGGGCAGCAGAGAGAUGGGUGGUAGUUUUUGCGCCAGAAACAUCACAAGCUGUAGGACAUAGCUUACCUCAUUCACGUGCUAAGCUGACUGAUUAUUGCAUGAGUCAAUUUUAGUUCUGCUCUGUUUGCUGGUUGGGACUAUUUUUCUUUCCUGUUCACUGCAAAGCAUAUCUAUCUUCUUCCCAUGUUCCCUACUUUAUAAAAUGAUCCUACUAUUCACUCUGUCUUUAGAGCCAGAAGCCUCCUGCCAUCUGCUUACAUUCAUCAGUCUUUGAACUUUCCAAAUACGUCUUCAAUCUGUCUGCCCAAUCAAUCCUUUGCCAUUUCCUUCACUGUAGUGUAAGCCACCAUUACUUCUCACCUGGACCACUGCUAAAACUUUCUCAUUAGCUUGUUUGCCUGCACUUAAAGCUAGAGUUAUCUGGUAGACACGUAAAUCUUAUCUCUUCUGUCCCAACAACCCACCGCCCCAACAAGGGGGUCCCCAAGUCUGCAGAUCUAACUCCUUUUGUGAUCCCCACUGUUAUUCUCUUCAGCCUCAUCCUCUCUGGGUUGCACUCACUGCCCUACAGCCACAAGAGAUGCUGUAUAGGCAGCUCCCCCAAUGACCUUUUACUGCAUGGAUCCUGUUCACAUCCCACUCCCUCUACCUGGGAUGUUCUUUCCUCAAAUCCUUCACUCAUCAAACUUCAGGAUUCAGCUCAGGGGCUGCAGGAAGCCUGGGAUGAGUUAGGAGUCCCUUCCUUGUGCUCCCACAACACUCCUCAUUAGCCCAUCAUGUUUUUCUAUAUCACAGCCUGUUAUUGUACAGUGACUGCCUAACUCAUGGUAAAUGCUCAAUAAAUACUUGUUGAAACAUUGUCUUGUGAUUGCCUAUUGUUAAUAGUCUGGAUACCAGUUAAUGAGCUUUUUUCUUUUUCUUUUUUUAUUUUUGAGACAGGGUCUCACUCUGACACCUGUGCUGGACUAUAGUGGCACCAUCAGGGCUCAACCUCCCAGGCUCAAGUGAUUUCCCUGCCUCAGCCUCCUGAGUAGCUUGGAUUACAGGUUUGCACUACCAUGCCUGGGUUAUAGCUUUUUUGUUUUUGUUUUUGUUUUGGUAGAGAUGGGAUUUUGCCAUAUUGCCCAGGCUUAUCUCAAAUUCCUGGGUUCAAGUGAUCUGCUUGCCUCAGCCUUCAAAAGUGUUGGGUUAUAGGCUUGAGCCACUGAGUUCAGUCGAGCUUCCACCCCACCCCGCUUCAUUUAUUUAACAUAUAUUUACUGAAAACCUGCCAGGUGCCCGGUACUGUUAGGUGCUGGAGAUAUAGCAGUGGACAAGAUACAAGAUAGACAAAUGUCCAUGGAAGCAGGGAAAGUAUUUUAUUCACUGUUGCCUCCUCAGCACUUAGCCCAGGGAUGGGCACAGAAUAGGUACUUUAUACAGAUUUGUUGAAUAAACACAUGAACCUUCUCUGACUGUCAGAUAAAAACUGUAUGCCCAACAGAUCUCCUUUCUCUCUUUCACUAAUUGAUCUUCAACUUUCUGCACAUAAGCUGUUCCAUGUGGUUAGGUACAAUGCAGGAUGGACACAUAUAGAUGUCCCCAUUGUGUGGAUUUUUGGAUGAAGAGGGAGCACUUACGAGGUCCAUUUAGCCCCAGUCACCAGUAGUCUUCUGGAUCUGCUGCCAGGGUUUGGCUUGUUCCACUGCCUUGAGUAUGCUGAAUGUGGAAGGAAACGCUUCAUAAGAAAGGAAUGGAAGCACAGCUCUGACAAGCCCCAACAUGCGUCAGCCUGAGAACUAGCGGUUGGAGUUCUGUUGGAUUGGCAAGGCACAGUGGCUCACGCCUGUAAUCCCAGCAUUUUGGGAGGCUGAGACAGGAAGAUUGCUUGAGUUUCAGAGUUUGAGACCAGCCUGGACAACAUACCACAUCUCUACUAAAAAUCAAAAAGAUUAGCUGGGCAUGGUGGUGUGCACCUGCAGUGCCAGUUACUCAGAGGCUGAAGAGAGGAUUGAUUGAACCUGAGGCAUCCAUGCUCCAGUGAGCUAUAAUCAUACCACUGCACUCUAGCUCAGGCAACAGGAGAUCUUGUCUCAAAAAUAAAUAAUAAAUAACAAAUAAAAAUAAAAAAAUUGUUGUCCUUCCACAAUGGGGAAAAUGUUUAAGAGUAGCAGGAUGAAAAAGAUCGGAAGAUUCAAACAACCCAUCUAUGCAUAAUUUUUUAAAGAAUUAAAGAAUGGACUUGAGAAGGUAAGAAAAAUAGGAAGCGCUCCACAUGAAACUAUUUCAAAAGAUUUUCUCUUAAGGGCAGAUAGGGCAAAGAUUCAAAAUCACAAACAAAUGAUGCAUCCAUAGGUGACUUAAUAGACUUCAGGACACUUUCAAAGGACAUUUGGGGGCAAAUACAGAGUAUAAGUAAAAGGAGCCCUUUCUUCUUGUUAUUUGAAAGGCUCAUAUCUAAAAUAGGGGAUUUAGAAAAAUAUCAAUUGAAAUGGGAAAUUUCAUUAGGGUAGGUAUCUUGGUCUUUUUCAGAGUCCUAAAAUAUUAACUAGAAAUCAAAAUAAUCUUACAGCCUACUAGAUAAAACAACUGGCCCCUGAAAUAAAGACAGGACCCAAAUCUCUCUGUUCUUUAAGAAUUUGGAGUCUGUGGAAAGCACUUGCACUUAACUGUAUGCAGAAAGGCCAUUGGAAGAACUAAUGUUCCCUGUGAGAGAGAUAGUUGUCUGUAUCUGUCUGCCGAGUCUCUCUGAGGAGACCUUUGCACUUAACACUCCUAUCUUGCCUCUAAACUUCCAAGGGCAUUGUCUGUACAUAUAGAUGAACAGCUAUACUGCUUGCUUGUUGAUAUGGUUUGUUUCUUAUGUGGAAAUCAGACUCUCCUAUGCCAGCUAUGAUUAAGACUAAUUGUUCUGCAUGCUGAAUAUUUAGACCAUCCCAAUGCAUGAUUCUCCACCACCCACGGCGGACUAUGUCUUCGUACAGAGAGUCUGAAGGGAUGAAACCCUUCUUUGGGCUUUAACUCCUGGUAGAUGAAAUAGACUUCUGCGGAUUCUGAGUUGAACAAUAUAAAGUGCCUUUUUCCCCCUUACCGUGACUGACAUAGUAAAUCAUACAGCCCAUAUCCUAGGGUACAACUGACCAAUUUGAAAUCCUUAGCUCAAGUAUUUAUGGAUCAUAGAAACCUUUGAGUUUGAUUUUAGCUAAUUAGGGGAGACGGCACCAUUGUUAACACUCCCUGUUGUGCCUGGGUUAAUAUCACAGGUGAGGUUAAUCUAUAGCUACGCCCAAAGAAAAAGCAGCUUGGCUAUCGAAGGUAGAUGGUCAUGCCAGGCAAAUCAUAAGGCAUGAUUCCAGAGAGAGUUUCAGAUCCUUUUGAAAAUACUUUUAAUUAUCAUUCUUUUGUUCUGUUGUCCAGAGAGCUGAAUGCUUUCAUGUAGACUCUGGUAUGACAAAUGAUGCAACAAAUGAUUCAAAGACAAAAAUGAGAAGAAAUGAGGCAGACUGAUACUCAAAAUGAAAACCAGAUCUCUGUAAAUGAAAAGAUGAAACUUGUUCUCAAGGAAAGCCAACGGCAGUGAGGAUCUGGACAAUCUUGGAGGGUCUUUUCUGCAGCUUUGGUUGAGGGAGGACCAGAAGGCAGAGAAUAAGAAUAAAAAGAGAAGCUCCCGCAUUCCUAGGUAACAAUGGAUUGCCCUGUAACCAUGGUUACACCAAAUCUCCAGAACCUGUGUGACACCCUUUAGUCAAUUAAUGAAACUCCCUUGGUAACCGUUCUAACAGAUGCAUGCUGGGAGGUACACUUCAUAGCGAAAGGUCUGCCACUCCUAAGCACUGCUGCCUAUGAAACACCACCAGUCCAUGAACGCAACACCUCCCAAAGCCCCUUGUACAUCAGCCAUGAGCCUUGUUCAGAGACUGCCAUACAAGCACAGUUCUCCCUUUUUUAACCAGAAAUAAAUUCAGUUUUGGUUUCAUACAGUGAAUGGAGGCAUCCUCCACCAAAGCAGCUUAUGGGUAUACAAGAAAAUAUAGUUAUGCAAAUUCUCUCUUUUUAAUACAAAUGGUAGCUUAUUAUACACCAUGUUUUGCACCUUGAUUUUUUUUUCCAAUUAAAAAUGUACCAUGGAGAUCAUAUUAUCAGUCAGCAGGGAUUUGAAGCAUAGGUUUGUUGGCACCGCACGCUGAUGCUCUCUCCAUGUCUUUACUAGACAAUUUCACAAGAAAGAGGGUAGUAGAACCACUUUCUCCUCUGAGUGUUGGCAGCAGAGAGCUUUGAACUUUUGAACCCUCUUCAGAAGAAACAAAAAGGCUCUUAGGGAGAGCAGUGUAUAAGUUACAAGUAUAUUCUCUGGGGUAUAAUUCUUGGAGAUCUGUUAGAUAGGAAAUUUAGAAGAAUUUAUGACCUUUUUGAAUCUCCGUUUUCUGACCUGUAAAAUGGGGAUGGUGGUAAUAGUAUCUACAAUAGAAGGUAGUUCUGAGGAUUACAGAAUGAUGGAAAGUGCUCAGCACAGCUUUCUGGUGUGUCAUAAAGGCUUAAUAAAUACAAAUGAAGAUUCUGAUGCUGACGAAUAUGUAGGGGAGAUGCCUAGAGGAGUAUGUGGCAUUUCCUGCACUACCAGUGAUGCCCUCUAGAAGGAAGCAGGAACCAAAGAAGAGGGCCCUUGGGUUGUCCCCAGUGGGCUGUGAACUUCAGGUUUCUAGUGACCCCACUGCACUUUGAUUACAGGAAGAAAGAUCAAUGAGGUAGAACAGGAAGGCGCUGGUG